UACAGAGGGGGCAAGCGUUGUUCGGAAUUACUGGGCGUAAAGGGCGCGUAGGCGGUUCGUUAAGUCCUGUGUGAAAUCCCCCGGCUCAACUGGGGAACUGCACAGGAAACUAGCGGGCUUGAGUUCGGGAGAGGGAAGCGGAAUUCCGGGUGUAGCGGUGAAAUGCGUAGAUAUCCGGAGGAACACCGGUGGCGAAGGCGGCUUCCUGGACCGAAACUGACGCUGAGGCGCGAAAGCUAGGGGAGCAAACGGG
rnacentral:rRNA from 1 species